rnacentral:tRNA from 2 species
GGGCGUGUAGCUCAGUUGGUAGAGCGUGUCAUUAGCAUGAUCAUCUCAUUUCUUGACAAGGUCUUUGGUUCGAUUCCUAACUCGUCCA